CCUACGGGUGGCAGCAGUGAGGAAUAUUGGUCAAUGGACGAGAGUCUGAACCAGCCAAGUAGCGUGAAGGAUGACUGCCCUAUGGGUUGUAAACUUCUUUUAUAUGGGAAUAAAACGUUCCACGUGUGGGAUUUUGUAUGUACCAUAUGAAUAAGGAUCGGCUAACUCCGUGCCAGCAGCCGCGGUAAUACGGAGGAUCCGAGCGUUAUCAGGAUUUAUUGGGUUUAAAGGGAGCGUAGGUGGAUUGUUAAGUCAGUUGUGAAAGUUUGCGGCUCAACCGUAAAAUUGCAGUUGAAACUGGCAGUCUUGAGUACAGUAGAGGUGGGCGGAAUUCGUGGUGUAGCGGUGAAAUGCUUAGAUAUCACGAAGAACUCCGAUUGCGAAGGCAGUUCACUGGACUGCAACUGACACUGAGGCUCGAAAGUGUGGGUAUCAAACAGGAUUAGAUACCCCAGUAGUC
rnacentral:rRNA from 1 species